rnacentral:rRNA from 1 species
GCCUACGGGGGGCAGCAGUGGGGAAUAUUGCACAAUGGGGGAAACCCUGAUGCAGCAACGCCGCGUGGGUGAAGGAGCGUUUCGGCGCGUAAAGCCCUGUCAGCGGGGAAGAAGAAAGACGGUACCCGACCAAGAAGCCCCGGCUAACUACGUGCCAGCAGCCGCGGUAAUACGUAGGGGGCGAGCGUUAUCCGGAAUUACUGGGUGUAAAGGGAGCGUAGACGGUAUGGCAAGUCUGAAGUGAAAGCCCAGGGCUUAACCCUGGGACUGCUUUGGUAACUGUU